CAAUGUUACAUACCUUUUUAGGUGACCUUAAGGAACAGUCUAAAAUACCCUAUAUAAUCAUUCUAUCACCUAAUUAAUACCCAGAAUUGGCCUUUGUAUUCUAUGCAAAAAAGGUAUGUA